rnacentral:rRNA from 1 species
AGAGUUGAUCAUGGCUCAGGAUGAACGCUAGCUACAGGCUUAACACAUGCAAGUCGAGGGGCAGCAUGGUCUUAGCUUGCUAAGAUUGAUGGCGACCGGCGCACGGGUGAGUAACGCGUAUCCAACCUUCCCUAUAGUAGGGGAUAGCCCGUAGAAAUGCGGAUUAAUACCCUAUGUUGUAUUUUGAGGACAUCUGAUGAAUACCAAAGGUUCACCGCUAUAGGAGUGGGGAUGCGUCUGAUUAGGUAGUCGGCGGGGUAACGGCCCACCGAGCCAACGAUCAGUAGGGGUUCUGAGAGGAAGGUCCCCCACAUUGGAACUGAGACACGGUCCAAACUCCUACGGGAGGCAGCAGUGAGGAAUAUUGGUCAAUGGGCGAGAGCCUGAACCAGCCAAGUAGCGUGCAGGAUGACGGCCCUAUGGGUUGUAAACUGCUUUUAUGCGGGGAUAAAGUGAGGGACGUGUCCCUUAUUGUAGGUACCGCAUGAAUAAGGACCGGCUAAUUCCGUGCCAGCAGCGGC